rnacentral:rRNA from 1 species
UACAGAGGGGGCAAGCGUUAUUCGGAAUUAUUGGGCGUAAAGGGCGCGUAGGCGGCUUUGCAAGUGACGGGUGAAAGCCCUCGGCUUAACCGAGGAACUGCCUGUCAGACUGUGAGGCUUGAGACCGGGAGAGGUGAGUGGAAUUCCCAGUGUAGCGGUGAAAUGCGUAGAUAUCAGGAGGAACGCCGGAGGCGAAAGCGAGUGACUGGCGCGUUCCUGACGCUGAGGUGCGAAAGCUAGGGGAGCAAACAGG